UACGGGGGGGGCAAGCGUUGUUCGGAAUUACUGGGCGUAAAGGGCGCGUAGGCGGCCUGCUAAGUCGGAUGUGAAAUCCCUCGGCUCAACCGAGGAACUGCAUCCGAUACUGGCGGGCUUGAAUCCGGGAGAGGGAUGCGGAAUUCCAGGUGUAGCGGUGAAAUGCGUAGAUAUCUGGAGGAACACCGGUGGCGAAGGCGGCAUCCUGGACCGGUAUUGACGCUGAGGCGCGAAAGCUAGGGGAGCAAACGGG
rnacentral:rRNA from 1 species